CUCAAAAAAAGGAAAACGCGCAGCUUUGGAUCAGCCACCCAAAACCAAAGUUCCAGCAGGUGAAAGCCCACAUGCCCCUACCCCACUAUGUGCCACUCACUCCAUCCUGAGCCACUACCAUCCUGAGUGUGGCCUUCCUGCCCGUGACCCAUCCCCACAAUUCCUUGUGCACCUGUGUGUGCCCGAGUCACGCCCAUUUCACAUCCAUUUCAGACCCUCUGCUCCUCUGCAGCUGCCUUUCCCCUUCAUCCCUCCUGACACACAGGGCCUGGCAUCCUUGGUUCCCCCGCCAUGCAGUGUCCCGUGAUGGACAGUCUGUAACCCGCUCUCCUCCUGUCACUGUGACAGGACCCACUGGCUACUGCUGCUCUGGCCCCUGCAGGCCACACGCUGAGGCCGCUUUCCCUCCCGGCUCCCGCUGUGGCCGUUCACUGGGCAGCCACUUAGGCCAGGGCUGGCUUCCCCCUCUGGCAGGGAAGAAUUGACGCUGAGCCGAGAACACAGAGCCAGAAUGCAGCAGAGGCAACGGCGUGGAGAGGCUGCUCGGCCAGGUGGGGCCAGGGCAGCCUUCCCAGGGCAGGGGCAGGGAAGUGAAGUUUUGAAAGAGGAAGGCACUCUGGCAUGUGACAAGGUGGGCGACCCUGACAGAAUUCCAGGCCAAGGGACAGGAGAGGGCCCAGGUGUGGAAAGCUGGGGAGCCUCACACCCUCGGGGCAUGUUUGGUGGUUGGGUGCCCUGAAGCACCCACACAUGUACCCCAGGGGCCCUGGGACCAAGCUGGGGUCUCACUUACUUGGUUGAUCGAGGGACCACCAUGUCUGAGAGAGAUUCGUAGGUUUUUUGCCAUUGUGAGUAGUUUGGUCUGCAAGAACAUAGAAUCGUUACGUGAUUUUUUGCAGAAAAGGCUCGUGGGUGUCCUGAGUGCCUAGGAAGCUGCACACCCCUUUUCCUGAAGGCCUGAAGGAAGACAGCUGGCCCAGUGACCCUCAGAAGUGGAUUGCAGAAGUGGGGGUACCUCCCAGGUUCUCCAGGUUUGUCUUCAGAGUGUUGUAGGCGGCCGUUCGGGACUUCAGGUCCAUCUCGAUCUGCGCCAGUUGCUGUUUUGGGAAAGCAAAAGCUCCAGGUGACCCUGAGCAUUGAAGGAGUUGGCUGAACUUUUUGAAAUGGCCACAACAGCUCAUGGUGCUUUCAAGAAAAAUAACUGCCCUGCCCAUUUGCUGGGAUGGCUUCUGUUUACCAGCAUUUGGCCCUUCCAGGGAGCCCCUGUGUGGCACCCAGGCGCCAAGCCAUGAUGGAUUUUCUAGGAUGACUCAGUGAGCCCAACCUUUCCUGAUUUCAAGCCCAUCCUGAACGGUCGGGACAUCCCACGCCCACACCUACCCUCUCAGGCUCUGCUGGAGGGCAGCUCAGGCUGACCCCCAAUCGUUGCUUCCAGGGGUACCCGACAUGGCCUGGCCCUCUCAAAUGCCCAUGUCUCCUGGCUCGGCUGUGCCGAUCUCCCUCUCAUGGGUUGGCAGGGGCAGGGAGGUGCAGUGGACAGAAACAAGACAGGCCUGGGCUCAAGCCACGCCCUCCUGCUUUCUGGCCGACUGGCUCAGGUUUCCCCAUUUGUUCCACAGCGGGGAUAAUGCCAGUGCUGAGAGCCGACUGUGCCAGGCUCCUUCACAUUCCCUCCUCGCAGCCCCACGUCGUGACACCCCACCAGCUUUGACAACCAGCCACGGCAGGAGCAUUUACACCACGGUCAUCCACAAAUGCUACAGGCCAGCACACGGCUGCUGACGGGAGAAUCUCAAGAGUCAACAGAUGAAGAAAAUGGGUGCUCCAUAGAAUGCCAACAGCUUUAGUCUAAAUAUACACAUUUUUAUACAUGGAAGAAUCCAUUGUCAACUUUUAAACAUUGGUUACCUUUUGGGAGAAUAAAGGGAAUGGGGGCGAUGAUCACA